rnacentral:ncRNA from 2 species
CAUUAAAUCAAUAGCUUCACUCAUAUAAUCGCGGGGAUAUGGCCUGCAAGUUUCUACCGGAUUACCGUAAAUGAUCCGACUAUGAGUGAGCAAUGCAGGGGU